CCUACGGUGGGCAGCAGUGAGGAAUAUUGGUCAAUGGCCGGAAGACUGAACCAGCCAAGCCGCGUGAAGGACGACGGUGCCAAGCAUUGUAAACUUCUUUUGUCCAGGGACAAAAUCAGGCUCGAGAGCCUGACCGAGGGUACUUGAAGACAAAGCAUCGGCUAACUCCGUGCCAGCAGCCGCGGUAAUACGGAGGAUGCGUGCGUUAUCCGGAUUUAUUGGGGUUAAAGGGUGCGUAGGCGGACUGUAAAGUCAGCGGUAAAAGCCCGGGGCUCAACCCCGGCGAGCCGUUGAAACUGGCUGGCUUGAGAGGGCGAGAGGUAUGCGGAAUGCGCAGUGUAGCGGUGAAAUGCUUAGAUAUUGCGCAGAACUCCGAUUGCGAAGGCAGCAUACCGGCGGCGAUCUGACGCUGAGGCACGAAAGCGUGGGUAUCGAACAGGAUUAGAUACCCGAGUAGUC
rnacentral:rRNA from 1 species